GAUGAACGCUGGCGGCGUGCCUAAUACAUGCAAGUCGAGCGAACGGACGAGAAGCUUGCUUCUCUGAUGUUAGCGGCGGACGGGUGAGUAGCACGUGGAUAACCUACCUAUAAGACUGGGAUAACUUCGGGAAACCGGAGAUAAUACCGGAUGAUAUUUUGAACCGCAUGGUUCAAAAGUGAAAGAAGGUCUUGCUGUCAAUUAUAGAUGGAUCCGCGCUGCAUUAGCUAGUUGGUAAGGUAACGGCUUACCAAGGCAACGAUGCGUAGCCGACCUGAGAGGGUGAGAGGCCACACUGGAACUGAGACACGGUCCAGACUCCUACGGGAGGCAGCAGUAGGGAAUCUUCCGCAAUGGGCGAAAGCCGGACGGAGCAACGCCGCGUGAGUGAUGAAGGUCUUCGGAUCGUAAAACUCUGUUAUUAGGGAAGAACAUAUGUGUAAGUAACUGUGCACAUCUUGACGGUACCUAAUCAGAAAGCCACGGCUAACUACGUG
rnacentral:rRNA from 1 species